rnacentral:misc_RNA from 1 species
AAAAAAAAAAAAAAACAAAGAAAGGAAUAAAGAAACAUAACCCCAUGUGGUUGACAGGUUGGGAUAUAAAUAUAAUGCAUUGGAGACUCAUGUAGAGGACAAAAAGAAGCCAAUUGUCCAUUUUAAUUUCCAACCAACCUGGAAACUAUUAUACUUGCAGACUGGCGUGUGCUUGUCAGGGUGUUGCCUUCCAAACCGGCUGCAGGGUGGGAUCUCUGCACUGCCGACAUUUCAUAUUUUAAAAGCUCAGUUAUGCAAGUAAUCAUUGGAAACUACAAUUUCUCGAUGAUUCAAUAUGAUAAUAAAUAUUUUAUUAAAUUUGUGGUAGUAAUAGAGCGAGAGAUGGGGUGACCGUGAUUGUUUUACUUGCUCACUCUCUCUCCUGUCUGUCUCCUUCCUUCCAUUCCAGAGGAGAGCAAUCUGCAUAUCAUUCGUCAAUUUAGG